UGUUACUUCAAAUUUAAUGAGGUGAAAAUUGUAAGACAUCUUUUUAUCAAUUUUGUAUUAGAGAUAUUUUCAAUUUGUGGAUAGAGAUAAAUUUUAAGAUGUAAAAUAUUGUUUAAGUAUUUACUUCUCUCCUUGUACUCACCUCCAUCCACCGUGUAUAUAGAUUUAUGUUUUCAUAAGGAUUUAUGUUUUUUUAAUAAAUACGAAAUCAUUUAAAAUUAUAAUUAAGUUUAAUUUUAAUUUAAUUAAUAACGCGGUAUAUCCGGGUCUAGAUUUAUAUGAGUGGUGAAGCAAGUGAACACAAGAUUAGUUGACUUUGAACUUUAGGUUAGUGUCAAAGUUGGUUGAAGUGAACGUAAAAGGGGUGAACUUAGUAUAUGGAAGGUUACACAAAGAUAAUAGAAAAUUUCAUUUUUAAUUAAUUACAUUAAAUCAAUUCUUCUUCCCUCUUACUAUGUUAGUAUGUUUUAUGUUAUUCAUUCUCUUUUUGAAACUUGAUAUAUUUGUUCUAGGCAAACUUGUCUUCCUUAUUCCUUUCUUCAGAUUUUAUUCUACUUCUCAUAAGAAGACAUUAUUGUAGAAAAAGAGGCACUAGUAAAAAAAA
rnacentral:lncRNA from 1 species